UACGAAGGGGGCUAGCGUUGUUCGGAAUUACUGGGCGUAAAGGGCGCGUAGGCGGUGUGUCAAGUCAGGCGUGAAAGCCCCGGGCUCAACCUGGGAACCGCGCUUGAGACUGGCACGCUAGAGUUCGGGAGAGGAUGGUGGAAUUCCCAGUGUAGAGGUGAAAUUCGUAGAUAUUCGGAAGAACACCAGUGGCGAAGGCGGCCAACUGGUCCGGCACUGACGCUGAGGUGCGAAAGCGUGGGGAGCAAACAGG
rnacentral:rRNA from 1 species